CCUACGGGAGGCAGCAGUAGGGAAUUUUCCACAAUGGGCGAAAGCCUGAUGGAGCAACGCCGCGUGGGUGAAGAAGGUCUUCGGAUCGUAAAACCCUGUUGUUAGAGAAGAAAGUGCGUGAGAGUAACUGUUCACGUUUCGACGGUAUCUAACCAGAAAGCCACGGCUAACUACGUGCCAGCAGCCGCGGUAAUACGUAGGUGGCAAGCGUUAUCCGGAUUUAUUGGGCGUAAAGGGAACGCAGGCGGUCUUGUAAGUCUGAUGUGAAAGCCUUCGGCUUAACCGGAGUAGUGCAUUGGAAACUGGGCGACGUGAGUGCAGAAGAGGAAAGUGGAACUCCAUGUGUAGCGGUGAAAUGCGUAGAUAUAUGGAAGAACACCAGUGGCGAAGGCGGCUCUCUGGUCUGUAACUGACGCUGAGGUUCGAAAGCGUGGGUAGCAAACAGGAUUAGAUACCCGAGUAGUC
rnacentral:rRNA from 1 species